UGAACACCACAUUCGCGUAAUUCAUGACGGGACAUAAGCAAGUUUUGUAAAGUGUCACCUUGUUCCGAAGGGACAUUUUACUCCGCUUACAGAUCAUGGGAUAGAGUCUGUCGAGAAUAAAUGCGGCACGGUCGCGGAGUGUUUUUAUAUGUGGGCGGAAUGUCAUGGAUCCAUCCAGGGUGACUCCCAGGUACUUGACCUUUCUGGCCCAGGGUAUAGGUUGGCCGAUGAGAGUGAACGGGGGUGUGAUAUUUCUCCUCCUAAUGUGGGAGGAAAUAAGCGGUGAGUUUCCCCUUUAAAAUAACACUGGUGUGCUUUUCGCUAGGUUGAUGUCUAUGCGCCAUUUUCGGAACCACUCUCCGAGGGUCAACGCUGCGCGCUGGAGUUUACUCGCGAUUAGGGACUUGUUUUUACUUGAGUAGUAAACGGUUGUGUCAUCAGCGAAUAAGGCUAGCUGGGUCGGCGGCGACCGGGGAAUAUCGUUAGUAAAUAAACCAAAUAGGAGCGGAGGGAGAACGGAGCCUUGCGGGACUCCAGCCGGGAGUCGCGGGGAGAAGCGGGUUCCCUCUACUCGAUAUCGAAAAGAGCGGUUCGACAUUCUUGUCCCGUAUGAUGAGCUCAUCUAGCUUUAACACUAGAAGUAGGGACCCCGGUUACCGCACUCGUCGAACUCGGCAAAGAGUGCGACGUGCAACCUAACCUAAGUCUAAACCUUUUUACUUGUGGUAGGACCUCUUGUGAAUCCGCACGGGUAGGUACCCUGCCUAAUUCUGCCGUGAAGCAGUAAUGCGUUUCGGUUUGAAGGGUGGAGCAGCCUUUGUAACUAUACUGAGACCUUAGAACUUAUAUUGAAAGUGACGUGUGUGUGGCGUAAUGUGGCGUGAUUGUUAGUAAAUAUUUAUUUAUUAAUCUGCUAAGUAAAUAAAAUCAUUUAGAACAGAAAAUAAUCGUUAUGUAAAUUAAAAAAAACAAAUCGGUAUAAUCUGAUAAUUUUCCCCUUUAUUAGAAUUAUUAUGAUGAUUCAACAGCAUUACAACAAACAUAUUUGUUUUGCUUUAACGAAAGAAGAUAUCCGACAAGGGCCUCUGCAUCGAUUUCCUGUAUUUAAAAGUCACUUCUCCGUAUCGAAAAGAUAAAAUCUUAAUUAAGAAUGACUUUGAUAACGCAGAAGUAAAAGCUUACUAGCGAUAAAUAUUUUCAAAUUGUGUAAUUGUAGUAAUUAGGGCUAUAUCGAUCACACCGAACAAAAUAAAGUAUACCAUACGAAUACAAUGUAUCAAAAUACAUAAAUGAAACAUAUAAAUUAAGAGAGCAGUGUGCGGAAAUUUAUUCUAUCGUUAUAUACUGAAUUUUCAAUAAAAUGUGUGUGAUGUCAUUUAAAAUUUUGUGAUGCCUCACACUAAAACUUUUUAAUAGGUACUCAAUUAAAAAAAAAAAGUGGAUAAACACAAGAGAAAAUGGUAGGUACUCAGAUGAUUUGUCUUUGCCUAUUUAAAUUGUUUUAUGGAUUACUUCAUUAAUUCAUUAAAGGUUUUGCAUUCAACGGUCUCAAUAUAGGAUUUGCUCCUGUUGGACAUGCCGGAUACACAUUUAACUGGGUGUUUUGACAUUCAGCGGCAAUUAUCUAAUGUCUGCUACAAAUUUGUGAAGAAAUUGUAUAGUUUGUCAGAAGCGCUCACUAACGAACUAUCGGCAGAAAUACUCCUCAAAAAGAAAGUAAAAUUCAUUGGACGUAACGGCCACCGGUCUUUUGGUCUAGAAUAAAAAGUGUUCAGGAUUUUUUUAUUUAUUAGAAGUAAUAAAAACCAACUAUUUUAUUCGACUAUAUUAAUAUUUGAAGACGGCACUGUCACUAUACGAGUACACCCUCAAGUCAUUGGACUUGCUUAAAUUUGCUUAAAUUUUACACAAAACACCUUGAAUUAAAAAUUGUUACAUGCACUGGUUUUAUUAUACAUACCAUGUAUAAUAAAACCAAUGUUCCUAUACAUAAAUAUAAAAAUAAAUACUCUUAUAAUUCCAAAGGAUUAGUUGCCAGAAAAUCACUCUUAAGUCAACUGCCAUUUUAUGAAAGUCAUGUUAUUAAGUAUUGCUUUUAAAAACAACCAGUGAAUACAGAAUAAAAUAUAUCCUUAUAAUUUAAUAUACCAGCGUAUAGUCAAAUCAGAUGAGAUAGCAAAACAUAUCUUGCUAUGUUUUAAUCCGAUAAAGCAAAAGUAUAAAUAAAACUUACGCUAUGAACAAAUGCCAGUCGAUUGCAACGAUCCCCAUCUAGAACUUUCAGAAGAAUUCUUCAAGUUCACAUUGUGUUUAUCUAAUCAGUUGUCCGGUUGUCCAAAUCAAAUUAUCAUAAUGCAACGUCCCUCACAAAAUUCCGGCUACCCAAGCAUGCCCACUAUGCCAGGACAGAUGCCGCCAAAUCCCGGGUAUGGAAUGCCCAUGCAGCCUGGACCUGGUUUCCCGCCCGGUCAAGUCCCACCACAGAACAUGCCACAUAACGCAUGCUUCAUGCCAGCAGCUACAAUCCGGAAAAUAAGCAACACAACCCCGCCACGUUUCGAUCCCAGUUUUCAGCCAAAAUAAUUUGUUAAUCCGAAUCUCUCUUGUAACUACAUGAAUAGUAAUACAUAAUGAUAAGCCGUAUUUAUAUUAUAUUUAGAUUUUCAAUGUAAAGCAAUUGAUAAAUAAUAUAUAAUGUAAACGAACAUCGAUCGAUAUUUAUUGCAAGUCGGUGAAGCGUAAUUAAGUUUAAUAUUAAAUAUAAUAAAUAUUUCAAGUUUCGAAUUUAUUUA